rnacentral:lncRNA from 1 species
UUUUUUUUUUUUUUUUUUUUUGAGACAGAGUCUCACUCUGUCACCCAGGCUGGAGUGCAGUGGCACGAUUCUCGGCUCACUGCAAGCUCCGCCUCCUAGGUUCCCGCCAUUCUCCUGCCUCAGCCUCCCGAGUAGCUGGGACUACAGGCGCCUGCCACCACACCCAGCUAAUUUUUUGUAUUUUUAGUAGAGACGGGGUUUCACCAUGUUAGCCAGGAUGAUUUGGAUCUCCUGACCUCGUGAUCCGCCCGCCUUGGCCUCCCAAAGUGCUGGGAUUACAGGCGUGAGCCAGCGCGCCCGGCCGGCCAGGACUCUUUUUUUUAACUUAACUAGUAAUCUUGAGUAAGUAAUGAUGCGGCUGAUGGGAAAGGGGAAGCUGCAGGCCAGACAGGUGGACUCUCAAUCACAAGCACACCAUGGAGCAGGGAGCCAGGGCCCUGAUGUGGAAGACCAGCCAGACUCAGGUAUAUGGAGGGGACAUCCUUACUGUCCAGCCUCUCCUGAUCUCUGCUGGCACCUUAGCCCAGCCAAUCCUGUGCCACGUGCACAGGAAGCCUGCCUGCCUAGGUUCUUUCCACAGGAAGCUCCCUGGACCUUGGUGGAGUCUGAGCCCACCAGGGUCCCCACACCCAAGAGCUCAGGUUGAGGCCUGGGGAGGAGGGGAAGGAACCCACCGGCUCACAGUCCCCAACAAGGAGCCACUGAGAAGGGUGGGUAAAGGCUGCGGGGAUAGAUAGCUCUUGCGGCAGGCCUGGUGACUGAUAAGCCCAGGCAGCACCCUGAGAGUUGGCACUCGCCCCUCUGCCCCGCACCCCAGGGCUUUGCUUUGCGCCCUCCGCCCGGACUCUGGCCUUUCUCUUCUUCGUCUGCCUGGGAGUCCCUCCAGGGCAGGGCCUGGCACUGUCUAGUGAAUGUCGGCUCGUAGUGGACCCGAAGGAACCCUACAGUCAGCCCCAGAGCCGCGGGAGAUCCACGAUGCGGCCGGCUCCCCCCUCCCCGCCCUCACCCUCACGGGCUCCCGGCUCCUCAUUCCUCGCGGGGCUGCACUCUGGACCCGCCCGCCUCGCCCUUCAUCCUCAGAGACUCAUUGGUCCCAUUCCCCUCGGGCCUCGCCCUUCAGGUGCUCGGGCCAUGCCCGUCCGACCGCGCUGCUUCCGCCUCGCAGUCCUGUCUCACCCGCUUCUCUCGUAGGCCCUUCUACCCCCCCCGAAGCCCGGCUCCCGGGUUCCGCUUCCACAGGGCCGCCCUCUCUCCUCCGAGAUCCAACGCCUCGCCCCUCGGUAAGAGGCCCGGGACUUGGCCCACGGCCCCGCCCCCCACUUGACUAGUCCGCCCCUGGAAGGCCAGCUCCUCCUCUCGACGCCCCUGCUCUCUCCACCCGGGACUUCUCGCUGCCAGGCCGGGUCCUCUCACC